AAAAUAUAAUAAUAAUAAUAGGGUUAAUUGUAUACUGCUUUUUGUAAAAACUAGAUUUUCACCCGUGUGAUGCACGGCUAACAUAAUAAUAUAGAAUAAUAAAAAUUAUUAUGUGAUGAUAACAGAAAAAUUUUCUAAUUAAUUUUAUUUUUUUUAACAAAUAAAAAAAUAUACUAUCAAUCUUAAUUAUAGUACAUAUUAAAGUACACAAGCAAGAGAAAAAAAAUUUGGACCAAAGUAAAUAUUCAACUAAAAUGCAAAAUUCAAUCCUGCUCUAUUAUCUAUGAAUUGGUGUGCAAAAUAAUUUACAUUUACAUAUUGAUGUACGAAAUAAAAUGAUAACUAAAAUUAAUAUGAAAAAUUACAAAUGACAUUAAUNAUUUUCUAAUUAAUUUUAUUUUUUUUAACAAAUAAAAAAAUAUACUAUCAAUCUUAAUUAUAGUACAUAUUAAAGUACACUUACAUAUUGAUGUACGAAAUAAAAUGAUAACUAAAAUUAAUAUGAAAAAUUACAAAUGACAUUAAUAUUUAAGCAUCUAAUAAGAUCAACUAAACUUUCAUAUUUGACACAAAUUAAAGUAAGCACACAUAUAUUAUGUUCCUACUGUCACUUUUAAGAUUUAAAAAUAUAUAGAUGUUGGUUUUCAAGAAAAUAUAAAGAAAAAAAAUUUGUUGCAUGAAGAUGGAAAGUUACAGGAGUGACAGUAGAGAAAAAAAUUACGAAAUGAAAAUUACAGAAGUGAUAGUAGGGAAAUAAUAUGUUCUAUUUUAAAGCAUCAAUAUUUAAGAGCGAAAAAAAUUACAGGAGUGAUGUGAGUUUUAAAUUUUUUUCACUUUCCAAAAAUGUCUCUAUUUUUUUUUACUAAUAUUUUUAUGUCCAGAAAUUUUCAACCAAUCAUUUCAAAUAAUUAACUAAGUAAUAAUUUAUUCCCAAAUAAAGAUAAAUACUUUCCUUCUCACGCGUAAUAUCCGCACCGCCAAUUCUUUCGCAACAUAAUAUCUGUAAAUUUCUCAAAUAUCUCAACAUAAUUAUAGGUGACUUUGAAAUAAAAUUUUUUUCAUUAUAUGUGAUUUUUAAUAAUAUAGUAAAAGAUAUUAAUUUUUUAUAAAAGCGUGAGUUUUAAAUUUUUUCUCUUUCCAAAAAUAUCUCUAUCCUUUUUUACUAAUAUUUUUAUGUCCAGAAAUUUUCAACCAAUCAUUUCAAAUAAUUAACUAAGUAAUAAUUUAUUCUCAAAUAAAGAUAAAUAUUUUUCUUCUCACGCGUAACAUCUGCACCGGCCAAUUUUUUUGCUACAUAAUAUUCGUAAAUUUUUUAAAUAUCUCAACAUAAUUAUAGGUGACUUUGAAAUAAAAUCUCUUUCAUUAUAGGUGAUUUUUAAUAAUAUAGUAAAAGAUAUUAAUUUUUUGCCAUUAGAUCUUAUCUAAUGAUUGAAAAUAAAAAUAUCUGUUAAUUUUUAUAACAAUAUUACCCUCGCAUUUAUAUCCUAUUUUCUAUCUACGCGUUUCUCAAAUAUUUUCCUUCUCACGCGUAAUAUCCGCACCAGUCAAUUAUUUCACAACGUAAUAUUCGUGAAUUUCUCAAAUAUCUCAUUAAUCCACCUGUCAUUUGAAUUUAAUAAUAUAGUAAAUAGAAUAGAUAUGAUGACACGUGGAAAACAUAUAGAAAGCCACGUUAGAAAAUUGUCUCUAUCCUUUUUUACUAAUAUUUUUAUGUCCAGUAAUUUUCAACUAAUAAUUUCAAAUAAUUAACUAAGUAGUAAUUUAUUCCCGAAUAAAAAUAAAUAUUUUCCUUCUCAUGCGUAAUUUCUGUACCUGCCAAUUCUUUCGCAACGUAAUAUCCGUAAUUUCUUAAAUAUCUCAAUAACUUUGAAAUAAAAUUUCUUUCAUUACAGGUGAUUUUUAAUAAUUUAGUAAAAGAUAUUAUUUCCUUUAAAAAUUUAAUUUUAUUUUUUCUAAAUCUCCUUCAUUCAUUAUAGGUGAUUUUUAAUAAUAUUGUAAAAAAUACUAUUUUCUUAAAAAGUUUAAUUUUAUUUUCCCUAAAGUAGUCAUAUUUCCUAAAGUAACUAUAGGUGACUUUGAAAUAUUCCAUAAAGUAGAAAAUUUAUAUUUGAGCUUCACACGUAAAUUUUCUAUAUAGUAAAAGAUAUUAUUUUCUUAAAAAAAUUAAUUUUAUUUUUCCUAAAGUAGUCAUAUUUUCUAAAGUAGUAAUAUCCGCACAACAUAAUUAUAGGUGACUUUGAAAUAUUCCAUAAAGUAGAAAAUCUAUAUUUGAGCUUGACACGUAGAUUUUCUAUAUAAUAAAAGAUAUUAUUUGAGCUUGACACGUAGAUUUUCUAUANAAUUAAUUUUAUUUUUCCUAAAGUAGUCAUAUUUUCUAAAGUAGUAAUAUCCGCACAACAUAAUUAUAGGUGACUUUGAAAUAUUCCAUAAAGUAGAAAAUCUAUAUUUGAGCUUGACACGUAGAUUUUCUAUAUAAUAAAAGAUAUUAUUUGAGCUUGACACGUAGAUUUUCUAUAUAAUAAAAGAUAUUAUUUUCUUAAAAAAUUUAUUUUUUUUCUAAAAUAAAAAAUUUAUAUUUGAGCUUGACACGUGACAAACAUAUAGAGCGCCACGUGUCAACUUCUCAUAUAAGGUUCAUUAAGGAUUCUACUUUAGUAUAUAGUAAUAGAUAAUAUCGAAUGACAAAUAUAUUUUUAUAAAAUUUAAUAUUUUAUUUUUAUUUCCGUAAAAUUUUAAUAAUAUUUAUAUUUGUCCCUCCAGUUUAUUGCUGUUAGAGUAUUGUUUAUUUUUUAAUAGCAGAUAAGUAAAAUGAUAUUUUUGCUAUCAUAAUUAUAUCGUUUCAAAAGUUCGCACUCUUAUAAUUAUGCAAAAAUAUCUUUUAAAAUGUCAUCUUUUUUACUUUAUAAGUGAAUAUAAUUAUUUUAAUAUAAGAGAGAUAAAAAGGUUAAUUUACCUCAUUCAUUAAUGAGAAAUAAAUAUUUUAUCUAUAUUUAACUAUAUCUUUCUAACUGAUUCUAACAGUAAUAAUAGAUUUGAAAAUAUUCAAUUUUUAUAGGAAUAAAAAUAAAAAAUUAAAAUUUAUAGAAAUAUAUUUACUAUUUAAUAUAUUUAUAUUUAAUAUAUUUAU
rnacentral:lncRNA from 1 species